rnacentral:rRNA from 1 species
CCUACGGGAGGCAGCAGUGGGGAAUAUUGGACAAUGGGCGCAAGCCUGAUCCAGCAACGCCGCGUGGAGGACGAAGGUCUUCGGAUUGUAAACUCCUGUCAGGCGGGACGAAGGUACGGAGGCAAAUAGUCUCCGUGCUUGACGGUACUGCCAGAGGAAGCCCCGGCUAACUCCGUGCCAGCAGCCGCGGUAAUAA